AUACAUCAAUUUUGUUUGACUUUUUAUGCUUAUUUUUAAAGCCGGGGUAAUACUAGUCUAUCAAAACCACCACCGCGUAAUGUGAAUUAUGUGAAGUUUUCUGAGCCAUUAUUGUAGUAGUUCGUAUAUCUAUAGCAAAAUCCUAUUUUUUAUUUUGUUAAGGGGGAAGCUGUUAGGCCGAAUUACAAGCGAGCAUGAUGAAGAAAAUAAAAUAAAAGAUUAACACAACCUGGGGAGGGUGGAGUAAAAAGCAUCAGCUAUGUGCUAUCACUACAAUAUGAAGGUUAAUAUCAGUUAUGUCUAAGCAGAUACCUAUCCCAGACUAAGAGCAACAAACUCCAAGAGUUAGGUUUGGUGGUAAAAUGUAAAAUGACAGGUCUUGGAUCCGGAGGUUUCAGAUUUGAGUCAGUUAUACCUUUGAAGAUUGGAAGUGCUCUUUAAGGGCAAAGGUCUUUCCUACCUUAUACUGGUGCAUCGUCCCCUCAUCCUAAAUUUAUUUCAGGCACAUUGAAUUAGCUGGUUGAAGAAUAAAUUAAUUUUAUGUUUGUAAAGGGCAGGACUGGAGUGCCCCUCACCCUAGACUUUUUUAUUAUGAAAAAAUAGUAGGACAUGCAUGCUAUUGAGGUCUAGCGCAAAUAAUUGGUACACAUGGUGUAUGAGUGUUGUAAAACUCGGAUAGCAAAUUUGAUUCUUACUGAUAAAAAAGUUUAGGACAUAAUUUGAAACUAAUCUUUCCCAUAAAAUUUAAAUGAAGUAAUGCCAUUGCUAUUUGACUAUAUGGAAAUAUGAUACUAUAAAAGGAUGGGAUGUCCUUCUAGUUCAGCAUUCAUUCUCCCCUUUGAAUACGAACAGAUUUUCACUAGUGCCUUGCAUGGUACUUUUAAGUUUCGUUGUGAUUUGUCAAGGAGGCAUCCUGGGGAAGAACUUCUACCAGCAUUCCUGCCCUCAGGCCAAUGACAUUAUUAUGGAAAAAACCCUACAGUAUGUCUCUGCUAAUCCCAACUUACCUGCUAAGGUGCUUAGAUUGCAUUUCCAUGACUAUUUUGUCAAGAUACACCUACCUUUGAGUUUUCAAUUGAGGCAUGUACCAUCUGAUUCGAAGACCUACAAGUCAUGUAAUUUGAUUUCAAAAACGUUAGUAUCAGCUAAAAGGAAAAUACAGAAUUGACACUGUUACAUCAGCAACUAAUACACAUCAACACCUGAGUAUCGAUGAGGCGCGGAGUGUAUCAAGAAAAUGGAGAAAUAAACUAAGAGAUGAAAGUUGUUUUCAGCCGCGACGCAUUCUGUUAGUCAUAGAAUAAUGUGUAUCUUUCUGUUGUAUCUCAUUUGAUUUAGUCAUAAGUCUGGUUCUGGUACAGAUUGUAUUAUAUGCACUUUGUUCAAUGAAAUUACUCACUUCUAUCAA